CUCUCUCUUAGGAGAUCUCUGUGUACCUGAGACCUGCUAAAGGUGUUCUUCUGGUGAGAUGUGUGCAUUUUGGAGGCACCUGAACAUUCUCUGUGACCUUAAUGAAGCAUACCACAAAAACACCUACACUGCUUCAGAGACCACUUCUAGGAUCCUGUUGCUUGUUGGAGGGCAGAGUAUGGGUAAAUGGGGGUAUAUUUGCUUGAAUCCUAGAUCCACAAAAAGUUGCACAGGAUGCCAGAAGACUUAAAAUAAGUCUUAGACUGGAGAAAAACAACUGCCUGUUUUCAAAUUUGACUAUCACAGUGCUUUGGUUGCUACUUUAUACACCAAAGUGUCUGUUGAUGUAUUAAAGCACAUCCAGAGCAGUUCCUUUGGUCUACAGCACAAGAACACAUUCUUCAGUUUGUGAGAGGAGGACUGACAUUGAGAAUUACAUUGUAUUACCACUCUGCCAUGAAGGAAAUGGGUUUUUUCAUCACUUUUUAAAAAUUAGUUCAGUGAGAACCUCAGUGAAAUCUGCACGUACUUCUCUGCCAGCAGUUGUGCAGGUAACUGCUCCUCUUAUUAAGCAUUAAUUUCAUCUUAUCAUCCCUUUAAUCACCGCAUACUUUUCAAUUUCUUGUGAAAUUAUUUUGAUGUUCUUCAACAUGUGUUGGCAGAAGCUGUUAUCCAUUCACUCCUCAAUAGAAUUUGACAGCGUAAUCUCUGGAACUGCACACAUCGUGAUAUGCUGGAAGCAGUUUUUCAACUUUAACACAGUGAUUGAAUUUAAUAUUAAUAACAUUAGCAUUCUGGCUAUGCAAGGAAAUAUAAUGACACAGAUUAUUAAACUCCAUGCUGGAGGGAGGAAACUAAUUGUCUGUAGAGGUCACGAAGGAAAUUCCCUUUACUACAGUCUGUCAUCUCACAAUAGGUUGUUGUAUUACCCAAGAGUUCACACUCAUGUAGCAUAUCAACAUCUCAAGGGAAGAUGCCAGCUAAAACGAUUUUGUUCUGUUCUUUUAUAGUAAAUCUUAUUUUUUU
ensembl:lncRNA